UACGGAGGGUGCAAGCGUUAAUCGGAAUUACUGGGCGUGAAGCGCGCGUAGGUGGCUUGAUAAGCCGGUUGUGAAAGCCCCGGGCUCAACCUGGGAACGGCAUCCGGAACUGUCAGGCUAGAGUGCAGGAGAGGAAGGUAGAAUUCCCGGUGUAGCGGUGAAAUGCGUAGAGAUCGGGAGGAAUACCAGUGGCGAAGGCGGCCUUCUGGACUGACACUGACACUGAGGUGCGAAAGCGUGGGUAGCAAACAGG
rnacentral:rRNA from 1 species